rnacentral:rRNA from 1 species
AUGGCGAUCCACAAAAGUCUGAUCAUAGUUAUCCUUAUGCGGGAUGGUAAUCCUCGUAUCCAGCGCAUGGGGUCUGGGGAACGGCUGGUUCGUUUUGAAGCAAGAUGGCUCCUGGAGGAAGAUUGUGACAAUAUUGUAAAGGAAGCCUGGGAGGAAGCGAGGGGUACUUGUGUGAGCCCAAAGCUUGCAGCCGUGCUGGGUAAGCUCAAUACUUGGAGCCGUGAAGUUCUGGGCGAUCUCCGGGAGCGUAUAAAGAAGCUCAAAGGAGAGUUGGAAGUGGUCAGGAGGGAGCCAAUCUCGGACUGUCAAGUAAGAAGAGAACAAACCAUCAGUUUUAAACCGGAAAGGUUAGAGGAGCAAGAGGAUUUGGUCUGGAAACAACGGGCCCAUGUGAAUUGGUUGGUGUAUGGGGAUCGGAACACUAAGUACUUCCAAGCCUACGCGUCUGAAAGGAAGAAAAAGAAUAUGAUCCACAAAUUGAAGAGGGAGGAUGGCGUGUAG